GAAAGAAUGAAAAUGAAGUAGGCAGAUGUAAGGAGACCGGCAAAAUUCACGUGACUGUGGAUCUGAAAUACUACCGACCGACUGAAGUGGUAAGGACUCUCUCACCACCCAAAGUGUGGCCACCCUUGGCCAGCUGGCUGGGAAAAUUCCCUCCUGGAAUGCCUGCUGCCAACCUUCAAAGCUUUCUAAUACGCCUCUCUGGCAUACUCCACAGGGCACUUCCCAAACGAGAAUACAGAGAAUUAAGUUUGAGAUACCAUUCUCACCACAAAAAUCUAUUGCUGUAUAAA
rnacentral:lncRNA from 1 species